GAAGCAACUCCCACGGGAAUUAUCAACAUUUUCACUCGCAAUUUGCUUUUACCUCAUAUAAUGUCUUCCAUGAUCAAUAAAGCCAGCUUUGUUCUAAGGUAACCUUAAUGCUGGUGUAAGCCUAAGAGCUCCUAUGGUUCAGCUAAAAGUUAGCAUUCACCUACAGCUAGCAUGUUUAUGUGAAGAUGCAGCCAUUAUUUAGCUAGCUUGCGAGCAGUUACCUAGCUGUGUAGCCUAUAUUAUAAUAUGAAUGACACUGUAUGAUAACGUUACAGUACUUUUAUUCAGUAUUCGUAUGGGAGGGGUAAAUGUUAAUUGUUGAUAUGCUAACGUUACUUGAUCAUGAAGCAUGUCGUUAGUUAAAGCUAUGGCUACAAUUUCAGAACGUAACAGGCCGUUACUAUAAAAACGAAUUUCAGCUGUUUCAAAAACAUUGCUACGCUGUUACAGUUUUUACUGUAAGUGUUGGCUCAACAAGACAUUGCUGUUUACACUGCCCUGGUUAGAGGGCGCUAGCUCCGGAGGUAGCGGUCGAGAUGUGACACGUUGGUUGCCCAGACGGCAAGUGAAAACAAAGGCUGCCUACGCACUCCCUAUCUGUGACUUGAGACCGACAGCCAGACACAGACAAGCAGAACCACAAAGGGAACACUUUCAUCUGUUUUAACCAACAUGCAGUACCUCCAGCAGGAACAGAGGCAAUAACCAUUAAUCCUCCGGCUCAGGGACAAGCUACACUAUUCACAGCCC
ensembl:lncRNA